UGGGGGAUAUUGCACAAUGGGCGAAAGCCUGAUGCAGCGACGCCGCGUGGGGGAUGAAGGCCUUCGGGUUGUAAACUUCUUUUGCUCUGAACAAGGCGCACCAUGCGGUGUGUUGAGUGUAGGGGUUGAUUAGCGCCGGCUAACUACGUGCCAGCAGCCGCGGUAAUACGUAGCGCGCGAGCGUUGUCCGGAAGUUGUGGGCGUAAAGGGCUUGUAGGUGGCUGGUUGCGUCUGUCGUGAAAGCUCAUGGGUUAACUGGGGGUUGGCGGUGGGAACGGGCUGGCUAGAGUGCAGUAGAGGAUACUGGAAUUCCUGGUGUAGCGGUGGAAUGCGCAGAUAUCAGGAGGAAUACCGGUGGCGAAGGCGGGUCUCUGGGCUGUUACUGACACUGAGGAGCGAAAGCGUGGGGAGCGAACAGG
rnacentral:rRNA from 1 species